rnacentral:lncRNA from 1 species
AACGGGGAGCGUUAUAAACGUAGAAAUUUAACGUUAAAAACGAAAAAUACACACACACAUAUAUAUGUAAAAUGUAUAGCUACUGCAUGAAAAUGAAUCAAGAGAGAUCUCUUUGCUCGGUGUAGAAGGCACGUAACAAAGAUAUACGUAAGAGAAAACCGGUGCGACUGAGAUGAUCUUUGCUAGCUGUAGUUCCUUGUACCAUCGAUCAUGUUAUCGUAUAAUUAAGAUAUGUCUAGUAACUCAGUUUUCACCUUCUUUUUGCUUUUACGAAAACUCUAAUAUGAUCUGUUUGCAAUUUAGAUUAGUGGACAUCUUUAUAAACCAACCAAGGCACACAAUAUAUCGUGUGUCACCUUUUUAUAUUUUAGUGAAUUAUUUUAUAGUAUCGUUUAGCAUUUCAUCUAAUAAUACAC